GGAUGAAAUCGAUGAGAAGACCUGGGUACUUGAGCCAGAAAAACCUCCACGGAGUGCAACAGCACGCAGAAUUGCAUUAGGGAAUAAUGUUUCCAUAAAUAUAGAGGUAGACCCCAGGCAUCCUACUAUGCUUCCUGAGUGCUUCUUUCUUGGAGCUGACCAUGGUAUGACAUCUGAGAUUUAAACGUUUUUUAAUAGAGUCAUAAAAUCCUUGCCUACCAUUGUUAAAUUAUUAGACAAUAUUAGUAUAUUAAUGGUAGUUUUUAUUUUUUGUCUGAGACGGAGUUUUGCUCUUGUUGCCCAGUAUGUAGUGUAAUGGCACGAUCUCGGUUCACUGCAAUAAUGAUAGUUAUUUUAAAUGAAAAUGUCUCAGCAUUCUGAACUGUAUAAUUUUGUUUUUUAACAUAAUACAUAUAAUUUUGAUUUUCUAAUCAAGUAGUUAAGAAACAUUCUGUAUCAAAUGUGGCUUUAGAAACCAAGAGUAGAGCAUGCAAUUAUUAAAUUUUUUUUUUUAAAUCUGAAGUGGUAAAACCCCUGGGAAUUAAGCUGAGCAGGAACAUACAUUUGUGGUAGGUACCUUGGCAAUAUAAUUUUUACUUUUUGGUGAUUUUACAAAGUUCACAGCAUAAUUUUUUUCCCCAUGCUUUCAGGGAUCCAGAAAAUAGUGUGUUACAAAAUUUGAAAGAUGUUUUAGAAACUGAUUUUCCAGCUCGUGCUAUCCUGGAAAAAUCUG
rnacentral:sRNA from 1 species